ensembl:lncRNA CASP4LP caspase 4 like, pseudogene
GAAAGGACGGAGGCUGUUAUCUAUGGCAGAUCUAUCCAAUAAAGGAGAGAAAGGACCGCAUACGCCUGGUUCUCAUCAUAUGCAAUAAAGAGUUUGACCAUCUGCCUCCAAGAAAUGGGGCUGACUUUGCCAUCAUGGAGAUGAAGAAGCUGCUUGAGGAUCUGGGUUACAGUGUGGAUGUAGAAGAGAAUCUGACAGCCAGGCAAACCAUGGGGAACAGUGGGUCAGAGACUGUCCAGCAUCUUUGGGAGUCAUGUCUUCACAGUCACCUAAGAACCUGGAGGAUGCAGUUUGCAAGACAUACCAGAGAAGGACUUCAUUGUUUUCUGCUCUUCAACCUCAUGUAUACGUCUUUUGGUGAUAACGUGUCCAGGAGAGACAGCACAAGGGGCUCCAUCUUCAUCACACAACUCAUCGCAUGCUUCCAGAGAUAUUCCUGGCGCUGCCACCUAGAGGAAGUAUUUUGGAAGGUUCAGCAAGCAUUUGAAAGUCCGGAGGCAACAGU